rnacentral:rRNA from 1 species
GACGUAGGGCGCAAGCGUUGUCCGGAAUUACUGGGCGUAAAGAGCUCGUAGGUGGUUUGUCGCGUUGUCCGUGAAAACUCACAACUCAAUUGUGGGCGUGCGGGCGAUACGGGCAGACUGGAGUACUGCAGGGGAGACUGGAAUUCCUGGUGUAGCGGUGGAAUGCGCAGAUAUCAGGAGGAACACCGGUGGCGAAGGCGGGUCUCUGGGCAGUAACUGACGCUGAGGAGCGAAAGCGUGGGGAGCGAACAGG